rnacentral:rRNA from 1 species
GUGCAGUGAUGAAGGCCUUAUGGUUGUAAAGCUCUUUUACCCGGGAAGAUAAUGACUGUACCGGGAGAAUAAUCUCCGGCUAACUUCGUGCCAGCAGCCGCGGUAAUACGAAGGGGGCUAGCGUUGUUCGGAAUUACUGGGCGUAAAGCGCGCGCAGGCGGCUAUUCAAGUCGAGGGUGAAAGCCCAGAGCUCAACUCUGGAACUGCCUUCGAAACUGGAUAGCUUGAGUACGGGAGAGGUGAGUGGAAUUCCCAGUGUAGAGGUGAAAUUCGUAGAUAUUGGGAAGAACACCAAUGGCGAAGGCGGCUCACUGGCCCGUUACUGACGCUCAGGCGCGAUAGCGUGGGGAUCAAACAGGAUUAGAUACCCUGGUAGUCCACGCCGUAAACUAUGAAUGCUAGCCGUUGGGCAGCUCGCUGUUCAGUGGCGCAGCUAACGCAUUAAGCAUUCCGCCUGGGG